rnacentral:rRNA from 1 species
CAAUAGCGUAUAUUUAAGUUGUUGCAGUUAAAAAGCUCGUAGUUGGAUUUCGGAUGGGACUUGCCGGUCCGUCGUUUCGAUGUGCACUGGCCAGUCCUAUCUUGUUGUCGGGGACUAGCUCCUGGGCUUCACUGUCCGGGACUAGGAGCUGACGAGGUUACUUUGAGUAAAUUAGAGUGUUCAAAGCAAGCCUACGCUCUGAAUACAUUAGCAUGGAAUAACACGAUAGGACUCUGGCUUAUCUUGUUGGUCUGUGAGACCAGAGUAAUGAUUAAGAGGGACAGUCGGGGGCAUUCGUAUUUCAUUGCCAGAGGUGAAAUUCUUGGAUUUAUGAAAGACGAACUUCUGCGAAAGCAUUUGUCAAGGAUGUUUUCAUUAA